GUCUACGGCCAUGCCACCAUGAACAAGCCCCAUCCCAUCUGAUCUCAGAAGCUAAGCAGGAUCGGGCCUGGUUAGUAUUGGAUGGGAGACCACCUAGGAAGACCAGACACUCUAGAUG
rnacentral:rRNA from 1 species